AUUGAACGCUGGCAGCAUGCCUUACACAUGCAAGUCGAACGGUAACGCGGGGCAACCUGGCGACGAGUGGCGAACGGGUGAGUAAUGUAUCGGAACGUGCCCAGUUGUGGGGGAUAACUGCUCGAAAGAGCAGCUAAUACCGCAUACGACCUGAGGGUGAAAGCGGGGGAUCGCAAGACCUCGCGCAAUUGGAGCGGCCGAUAUCAGAUUAGGUAGUUGGUGGGGUAAAGGCCCACCAAGCCAACGAUCUGUAGCUGGUCUGAGAGGACGACCAGCCACACUGGGACUGAGACACUGCCCAGACUCCUACGGUAGGCAGCAGUGGGGAAUUUUGGACAAUGGACGCAAGUCUGAUCCAGCCAUGCCGCGUGCGGGAAGAAGGCCUUCGGGUUGUAAACCGCUUUUGUCAGGGAAGAAAAGGGCGACUUUAAUACAGUUGCCUCAUGACGGUACCUGAAGAAUAAGCACCGGCUAACUACGUGCCAGCCGCCGCCGUAAAAC
rnacentral:rRNA from 1 species